UACGUAGGGGGCUAGCGUUGUCCGGAAUCAUUGGGCGUAAAGCGCGCGUAGGCGGCCCGGUAAGUCCGCUGUAAAAGUCAAAGGCUCAACCUUUGAAUGUCAGUGGAUACUGCCGGGCUAGAGUCCGGAAGAGGCGAGUGGAACUCCUGGUGUAGCGGUGGAAUGCGCAGAUAUCAGGAAGAACACCCGUGGCGAGAGCGGCUCUCUGGGACGGUACUGACGCUGAGACGCGAAAGCGUGGGGAGCGAACAGG
rnacentral:rRNA from 1 species